rnacentral:rRNA from 1 species
UACAGAGGGUGCAAGCGUUGUUCGGAAUUACUGGGCGUAAAGCGCGUGUAGGCGGUCUGCCAAGUCUGAUGUGAAAGCCCUGGGCUCAACCCAGGAAGUGCGUCAGAUACUGGUGGACUGGAGUGGCGGAGAGGAUGGCGGAAUUCCCGGUGUAGAGGUGAAAUUCGUAGAUAUCGGGAGGAACACCGGUGGCGAAGGCGACCAUCUGGACCGGAACUGACGCUGAGGCGCGAAAGCCAGGGGAGCGAAUGGG